UAAAUCACUGAACUGCAGUCCAGGGCAAGCUACAGAGAGGACAUCUGAAACAGUUUUCCAUACCUCUGUUCACAGAUGACUUCCUGAAGCAAAGUUAAACUCUACAAACCGAGUGGAGAA
rnacentral:precursor_RNA from 17 species